rnacentral:rRNA from 1 species
AGGGUUUGAUUAUGGCUCAGGAUAAACGCUGGCGGCGCACAUAAGACAUGCAAGUCGAACGGACUUAACCAUUAGUUUACUAUUGGAGCGGUUAGUGGCGGACUGGUGAGUAACACGUAAGCAACCUGCCUAUCAGAGGGGAACAACAGUUAGAAAUGACUGCUAAUACCGCAUAUGCCUAAGUAUCGCAUGAUACAAUAGGGAAAGGAGCAAUCCGCUGAUAGAUGGGCUUGCGUCUGAUUAGAUAGUUGGUGUGGUAACGGCAUACCAAGUCGACGAUCAGUAGCCGGACUGAGAGGUUGAACGGCCACAUUGGGACUGAGAUACGGCCCAG